GUAGGUGGCAAGCGUUGUCCGGAAUUAUUGGGCGUAAAGCGCGCGCAGGCGGUUCUUUAAGUCUGAUGUGAAAGCCCACGGCUCAACCGUGGAGGGUCAUUGGAAACUGGAGAACUUGAGUACAGAAGAGGAAAGCGGAAUUCCACGUGUAGCGGUGAAAUGCGUAGAGAUGUGGAGGAACACCAGUGGCGAAGGCGGCUUUCUGGUCUGUAACUGACGCUGAGGCGCGAAAGCGUGGGGAGCAAACAGGAUUAGAUACCCCGGUAGUCCACGCCGUAAACGAUGAGUGCUAAGUGUUAGGGGGUUUCCGCCCCCUUAGUGCUGCAGCUAACGCAUUAAGCACUCCGCCUGGGGAUACGGCCGCAAGGCUG
rnacentral:rRNA from 1 species